GCUUGUCUCAAAGAUUAAGCCAUGCAUGUCUAAGUAUAAACUAUUUUAUACUGUGAAACUGCGAAUGGCUCAUUAAAUCAGUUAUAGUUUAUUUGAUGGUACCUUACUACUUGGAUAACCGUAGUAAUUCUAGAGCUAAUACAUGCAUUAAAUACCCAACUAUCAGCAAUGGUGGACGGGUAGCAUUUAUUAGAUUGAAACCAAUGCGUAGUUUCGGCUACGGUAUUGAGUUGAAUCAUAAUAACUGUGCGGAUCGUGCUUUUGCGCGAUAGAUCAUUUAAGUUUCUGCCCUAUCAGCUUUGGAUGGUAGGGUAUUGGCCUACCAUGGCGGUAACGGGUAACGGGGAAUUAGGGUUCGAUUCCGGAGAGGGAGCCUGAGAAACGGCUACCACAUCCAAGGAAGGCAGCAGG
rnacentral:rRNA from 1 species